CGGCCAACUCCAGGAUCUCAGCAGUCAGGAAGAUGAAGGGGGUGAUGUCCUGCAGGACCUAGCACAACAUGCAGCAGACCGGAGCCGAGGAGAAGAGCAGGAGACCGGAGGGUAACACUC